GGUUGUUCCUUGCACGUUCUUCUAGGUCAGGCCUCUCCGGUGUCACGAGACAAGGACGUGCCCUGUCGCGCCAGCGGCGGUCGCAGCGGAAAAGAAGAGGCGCCGUGACAGGCGGCGCCUGGGAGCAGGAGGUCUUAAGGGUCCCCAUCGUUCCUCUCCCAGUCUCCGCCUCGUCGGCGUCGCCGGUCGCCGGUGGCCGCCUCUGCGCCGCUGCGCUCCGUUCUUCACUACCUCAUGGCGUUGUUCUACCACGAGCGCGGGUACCAGGCGCGCCCAUGAGACGGCAAAUCCGAUAACCGACGACUUAUACCGCGCCUAUAAUGCAUGCCUCUUCUUUAUUAUCUAGUGUUCAAACACUUGACAGUUGCGCAAUAUUUACUUAGAGAACCCUGUUGACUAAAACACCUCUCUCCCUGACUAUCACAACAAAAGGCUUGUACGGGCGUUCUUUCCCUGUUCCAACAGAAAGUUUAGCCGUGUAGUCUACGACAGUCUCGUGAAUUUCGACGACUCGAACACACAUUACUAUAACGACGAUAUCUAUAGUUGUACCCAACAGGUUUCCGAAAAAGACAGUCACCUCCUUACCCAAGACGUAAUGAGAGGUUUGGACUCGAAUAUGUACUAUAAAACUGAUGUAACGCCUCCUUGAACUUGUGUGGUCACUGUACAUUUUAGGCAGAUGACUUGUGUGCAGUCCUGUGACACCUCAACCGUGCGGCCUAACUCUUUACACCACAAGGUCGAGACCGACAGGUACCUUCUUUCCAGUUUCUGUCCGGUUCCCUAGGCCGAUUCACCCUACUCUAACGACUACAACAUAGGCGUGACAGUUAAGGUCAAUAUCGAUUACCCUUACAUAAACUCAUGCUUCUAAAAUUCUCUUAGUUUCUACGAUGUCCACGGUGUAGACAUUACCGACGAUCUCCACGGAACACCUUACGGAGGUAAAAGAGACGAUUUCCGUUUCAUGGAACCCUCCUAAAGUUUUCUCUCAUACACUCUUUCUGAUAAAACACCCUGUUGCUAUAAUUCUCGUGUUUCUGUUGCGAUUCUCUUUAGUAUUACGUGAUGUAAACGGAACUUCCCUGACUUCCCUUUCCACACUAUUUCACACCAAGCAGUCGUCUACAUCGCUCUGAAAUACCCCUUCUCCUAAUGAUAUUAAAACAACAAAGUUUAUCCUUUACUUGUUUUGUCCUAAAACGAUUGGAGAUAUACUGGGUCGAAGACGAACCUAGGGAGGCAACCAAAAUACUUACAAAAAAGGCCUCUAGAAACGUACUCAAAACCUCUUUAAGUGUAUAGUGGUUUCUCACGUCAAAACCGAAAACGUGACACGGUAGAACCAUAAACUAGUUCUAGUUGACUCCUAAGUGCCUAAGGAAUAAAGCACCCCAUGUCAAAACACGGCACAAGAAUAUCCUAAAAAAAAAACUGUUUUUUCCGGCAACUAAAUCUGACUGUUCUUAGAUCUUCGUAAAACUCUAUGACAUAAGAAAGGUAAUGACUGUUUUAUAUAUUAGGUACUGAACGACUAUCUGUGGUAAAGACAUUCGAAUGUAUAUAAAAUCAAUAAGACGGUUUAGACCUAGCGGCUUUCCGACACAGUACAUAAUAACUACCUUUAGUACAAUAAACCGUUCAAGUUCUGGAAUAACACAAGGAACUGUGAACCUAAUAUAGGUUAACAGAUAGUCCCAGGUUUACGAAACCUCAACAAACUAAUUUUUAUCCUAAAACACUAUUAAAAUUAGGAAUCUUUGCUGGCAACACAUCCUAAACAAUAACGCAUCUCAAAUGUUGUAAACCGAAGCCGGAACCAAAACAAGGAACUGAAGUAGGGUACGUAUACUACGAAAAGUUAGACCAACGAGACUGUCCGUACUUUGACGGAGGACAUAAUACCUAAGACCUUCGUGUUUCAGACGUAGUGGGCACUGUAGUCUCUGGUAUCUACUAGUGUACGAUAAAGAAGACCUUCCUGAACAACUAUAUAUACGAUGAAAUAGUAUUUAUAGAGUGAGUCUAUUAACAACGUCGCCUGGUUAAUAAAAGGGACCAACGGCAGAAGAUCUACGGGUCUCGUUACAAAAAGAAGAAGAAACCCCAUUAAGUUUGGUUAAAAUGACUCGUUAUAAAGUUUUCUGUAUUGAAAGACACAACGCUUUCUCUCAUUUGGUAUAAAUGUAGUCUUUCUACAAGCUACCUAGACAUUUUUAUACAAGUUGUGCGAACCUUGAACACAGUCCAAGACCUAGAACACCGUACCCACUAAGCCUUGCAGUCGGCAGUCCUAGAGAUGACGAGGAUCGUAUUUACUUUAUAAGCCUAAACCUCUCCUAGUCG
rnacentral:rRNA from 1 species